GCCCCUAUAGCUCAGCGGUAGAGCUCCGGACUUUUAAUCCGUAGGUCGCGGGUUCGAAUCCCGCUGGGGGUA
rnacentral:tRNA from 1 species